GUGCCAGCAGCCGCGGUAACACGGGGGGAGCAAGCGUUGUUCGGAAUCACUGGGCGUAAAGGGCGUGUAGGCGGUCAGGUAAGUGGGAUGUGAAAUGCCCCGGCUCACCCGGGGAUCUGCAUCCCAUACUGCUUGGCUUGAGUACGGGAGAGGAUGAGGGAAUUCCUGGUGUAGCGGUGAAAUGCGUAGAUAUCAGGAGGAACACCGGUGGCGAAGGCGCUCAUCUGGCCCGAUACUGACGCUGAGGCGCGAAAGCUAGGGGAGCAAACGGGAUUAGAUACCCCGGUAGUCCUAGCCGUAAACGGUGAUCACUAGGUGUUGGAGGCAUCGACCCCUCCAGUGCCGCAGCUAACGCAUUAAGUGAUCCGCCUGGGGAGUACGGCCGCAAGGUUGAA
rnacentral:rRNA from 1 species